rnacentral:rRNA from 1 species
GGAGUNUGAUCCUGGCUCAGAUUGAACGCUGGCGGCAGGCCUAACACAUGCAAGUCGAACGGUAACAGNGAGCAGCUUGCUGCUCUGCUGACGAGUGGCGGACGGGUGAGUAAUGUCUGGGAAACUGCCUGAUGGAGGGGGAUAACUACUGGAAACGGUAGCUAAUACCGCAUAACGUCUACGGACCAAAGUGGGGGACCUUCGGGCCUCAUGCCAUCAGAUGUGCCCAGAUGGGAUUAGCUAGUAGGUGGGGUAACGGCUCACCUAGGCGACGAUCCCUAGCUGGUCUGAGAGGAUGACCAGCCACACUGGAACUGAGACACGGUCCAGACUCCUACGGGAGGCAGCAGUGGGGAAUAUUGCACAAUGGGCGCAAGCCUGAUGCAGCCAUGCCGCGUGUAUGAAGAAGNCCUUCGGGUUGUAAAGUACUUUCAGCGGGGAGGAAGGCGUUGUGGUUAAUAACCACAG